rnacentral:piRNA from 1 species
AUUUCCACUUCAGAUGUGUGUC